rnacentral:lncRNA from 1 species
UUGAUUAAAUAAAAGUAAAUAAAUAGCCCAAAAUAAUAACCCAAAUAACAUACGUCUGAACAUAUUUCAAAGAGAGAGAAGAGUACAGUUGUAUAAAUUGGUGAAUUGAGAAAAUGAAAAUUACGUAAAUAAUAAUAUGAGCCCUAAAUUUCUUUAAUAUCUACUAUCAAUGCCGCUCUUCUUUACCGUAACUGCGCCGCUUCUACUUCUUAUUUCUCACUCUUUCUUCUUCUUUUUUUUUUUUGAAAAGACUUUUUCUUCUUCUUCUUCUUGACUUCCUAUCUUCUUUUUUUUCUCACCACUCUUUACUUGUAGUUCUCUUCGAUCUUAUCUUUGAUUACAUUAUUUGAAAUCGCAUUGAGAGCUAAUAUUUGCUAUCUACGAGCAGGUCAGUGGAUCUCAACGGAAAUAUUUGAUGCUUCUUGGGGGUUCUUUGGUGACUAUUAGGCUAAUUGAUGAAUCGUUGAGUAAAUGAAUAUCUAUUUCGAUACUUUCGAUUAUUUAUGGUUCAAAGCCUCGAUAUUGUUCUCCCUUUUAUGCAUCAAUUUCUCUGAUUUUCUAAGUCUGUUGGUUUUAUGCAGAUUUCUUCUUCUUCUUCUUCUUGUUCUCUUGCUUCGCAGUCUCUUUUUGAAUGAGAAUCACGAUUAAGAAGAAAAUAAAAGGCUGUUUCAAGAUUUUGAAUUAAGAAAUUUCGUGUAUAAGACAUUCGUUUGUUGCUUGAAAUUUGGGGAGAAACUGAAUUGUUGAAAUCCACGUUUUUUCAAAUUUACCUACGAUCUUGGAAAAAUAACUGUUAAAAUUUGCCGGGAAAAAAUGUCCGUUGAACUGGUCUUUUAUAUUAUAUAUAGAUUGUGUAAAUUUAGAUUAUUCGACUAGCCAUGUCAGUAAUAAAUUUAGUCGGAGUGUCAAUUGAUAGCAAAAUUAGAUUAGAUCAAUAGUUCGAUAAUUACUAUGUUACUUUUUAAAAAUUUAUAUGCAAAAUCAGAAUUUGAUUAAAGUUCAGUUCAUUAAUAUCAUGCUACCUUUUAAAUUUUAUACUAUGCGUUUUAAAGUUUAUAUACAAGAUUAUAAUUUAAUAGAAGAUUAGUAAUUAUCACGUUCAUACUAUAUUUUAAAAUUUAUAUACAAAAUCAAAAUUUGAUAAAAGUUCAGUAUUUCACGUGCAAUUAGCCGAGGUAUACUAUGAUAGAUUGAGGAAUAAUACAUUACAUAACACUAAAUAAUGCCAAAAAUAGAUUGUAGGCGAUGAUGCAUAUAGUAUGAUAUAUCGAUCUAUCUACAUGUGUUUCUAUGUCGUUUACGCAUCACAAUCUUCUGCUGUGCCUGAAAACAAAAACUACCCGAUUUGAUGAACUUAUUAUAACAACAGAGCUAAAAUCUUCUAUUUACCUAUCAUUCAAUAAUGGAUUAAUCAUAGUAAUAUAUCAUAGAAAUUGUUAUUAUUAAAUUAUUACAAUAAGAAAAGUUAUUUCAUAUAUAGCCUAUUUUAUAGUAGUACUUGACCCGUUCGAUAUAGUUAUGUAUUGCAUAAUGAUUUAAUUAAAGAAAUGCUUUCUUUUCAAGAUGGAUGAAUCAAAUUUAAGAAAUGCUUUCUUAAACAACGAAAAACUUAGUUGAAUUUUUGCAAUUUCAUUCUCCAACUCCUUCGACACAAACAAUGAAUGCAUGUAACAUAUAUGCUAAGAUAAUUUUGGAGCAGCAGAAUUUCGGAUUAUUUUUUGUUGCCAAUUUCAUCUUCGUGUUCUAACACAACGAAUGCGUGUUGUGUGUGUAUAUCAAUUAAGAUGCUUUGUGAAUGUGUAAAUAAGGAUUUAAGAUGCUCUGAAUAAUAAAAAAAUGAUUUAAGAUAGAAGUAAUUAAGCACCUGCAGUCUCUGAUCUUAGCUUGAACCUUUGACGUCUGCUGCCGUUCAAGAGCACGGCUGAAUCCACUCACUUGCUGGCUUCUCGCGGGGAAAUCCGAUCUAGAUCCACUGUUUUUACCUCUGAUUCCACUCUCUCUCUCCUUAAUUUCCUCCAGAUUCAGGCGCUGCUCGUCGCGAUCAGGUGGUGAGAGAGAAGAGAGGAUCAGUGCAAUAUUGAUCGCGGCGAGAAUACUUUCGCUGUUCGUCUCCAAAU